CCGAAAAGGCAAAAGCAAAUAGGAAUACAGAGCCAGGUGACCCGAGCACCGGAACCGCUCGGCAUACGUCAGGAUCCAGAUCUAUUGUUGAGCAUACCAUUGAUCUGGAACGUGAGCUUGCCCGACAGCCUACAUGUAUGGAGAUUUUUCUGAAGACCCACAAGAAGAAGGAUGGGUCAUUUGUUGAUUCUCGAUCUCAAACUCUACAUCAAGAAAUGACAGA